rnacentral:rRNA from 1 species
UACAGAGGUCCCGAGCGUUGUUCGGAUUCACUGGGCGUAAAGGGUGCGCAGGCGGUUGGCAAAGUCAGCUGUGAAAGCCCCGGGCUUAACCUGGGAAUGGCGGUUGAAACUAGUCGACUAGAAUCUGGCAGAGGGGGGUGGAAUUCCACGUGUAGCAGUGAAAUGCGUAGAGAUGUGGAGGAACACCGAUGGCGAAGGCAGCCCCCUGGGCUGAGAUUGACGCUCAGGCACGAAAGCGUGGGGAGCAAACAGG